GCAUAUCAAUAAGCGGAGGAAAAGAAACCAACCGGGAUUGCCUUAGUAACGGCGAGUGAAGCGGCAAAAGCUCAAAUUUGAAAUCUGGCGUCUUCGACGUCCGAGUUGUAAUUUGAAGAAGGCGACUUUGUAGCUGGUCCUUGUCUACGUUCCUUGGAACAGGACGUCAUAGAGGGUGAGAAUCCCGUGUGGCGAGGAUCCCAGUUAUUUGUAAAGUGCUUUCGACGAGUCGAGUUGUUUGGGAAUGCAGCUCUAAGUGGGUGGUAAAUUCCAUCUAAAGCUAAAUAUUGGCGAGAGACCGAUAGCGAACAAGUACAGUGAUGGAAAGAUGAAAAGAACUUUGAAAAGAGAGUGAAAAAGUACGUGAAAUUGUUGAAAGGGAAGGGCAUUUGAUCAGACAUGGCGUUUGCUUCGGCUUUCGCUGGGCCAGCAUCAGUUUUAGCGGUUGGAUAAAUCCUCGGGAAUGUGGCUCUGCUUCGGUAGAGUGUUAUAGCCCGUGGGAAUACAGCCAGCUGGGACUGAGGAUUGCGACUUUUGUCAAGGAUGCUGGCGUAAUGGUUAAAUGCCGCCCGUCUUGAAACACGGACC
rnacentral:rRNA from 1 species